AUUUUUUAAAUGUAUGGAGAGAAUGUUUUCUGCAGAAACAGCCUGGGGUUUCAGGAAGGCAGGCCCAGUUCAGGGGUGCCUUGGGAGCAAAGGUCCUGUCAUUCCAACACUAAGCAACCCAGUGAUUCCAUGGAAAGCAGAAAGAAGGACAUAAAGAAACGGAUACUUGGUGACAUCUUUGACUCACUGGAUCAAACCUUGCCUGAAGCUCACAUUUCUGAAAUUUCCAGAUACAAGAACAAAUACUUCCUCUUUAUUGUUUUACUAGAUUUGAGACAAGCUUUAAGUUUCUCAGACUCUUCCUCUUCCUAACAGAUUUAUCAGAAGCUGAAAGCUCUGAUCUUGUUGGGAUGCGGAUCGUGUCAGGAGAAGGCUUACUUUGCACGCUUUUCUUAGUCUGGUUGCCUAACUCAAGAACCUCGGCAUGGCUCUGUUACUUCUCUACUCAGACAAGCAUCCCUGCAGACACUCACUAGGCUAACUCUGUCUUUAUUUUUAGAAUUAGACCUUUACGAGAAGCACAGUUUUGUCUUCAGUUUCCUCUCCCCCCACCCGGAAUGGCCUGAGCCGAAGCCAGCUCCCUCCGAGAAGUCAUUACCGCCUGACUUGCGUUUGAUAUUUAGACACCUUGGUCACAACAUCUUGCAUUCUCUCGGGAUGCUGAUUUCUAACUGCUCUUUGGCCUUUCCUGCAUUGGUCCUCCUCAGGCAGGGGAUCCCUGCUCUUCUAUAUUAGUGAGAAAACCAAGGCUCAGAGAAACUGUGGAUUUUCUAAGGAUGCUGGCUCCCCGUCCCCUGUCCACCAUGAGUCAAAGCAAUGUGAGUCCCUCACCAGAUGCAACUGCCCAGUCUUGGACUUUCCAGUGACCAGAAUCAUGAGCCAAAUAAACCUCUUUUCUUUAUGAAUUACCCAGCCUCAAGUAUUCUGUUAUAGCA
rnacentral:lncRNA from 10 species